ensembl:snoRNA
AGUUUUCUGUGGUUCAUAAGCAUGAUGAUUGGGUUUUCAUGCUCAUGUGUGAGAUGUGCCUCCCUCAAACCUUGUUACGACGUUGGCACAUUACCCAUCUGAUG